rfam:Metagenome sequence AGZO20310.g2, whole genome shotgun sequence.
UCUAUCGUGAGGUAGUGGCUGAAGGAAGCGUGUAGCGAAACUUUGAACCUAUGGACAAGAACUUGAUAAGAAGGCUAUGAGGUGGACAAGGUAGCAAUUGAUACUGAAAUCCAAAGGUAAACGUAAAACCGAAGUAGUAAAUCAAGAGGUAAUGAAGUGAAAGAUUAGAAU